GGAAUGCCAGUCACCGGGCUUUCAGGAUGAUGAGGAGAGAAAGUCUGUCCUGACAGAGGCCCCAUGACACCUGCCCUGGGCCAGGAUGUUUGGGGGAGGGGAGAUUGCACGGGCAUUGGGCCGUCCUCACUCCUUCUGUCUGGAGGUGUGGGGCCAGGGGCUUCUGUGAAAGAGGCCAUAAAUGGACCCAGCCAGGAGAUCCAGGGGACAAAGGCAUCUGCUGGCCCAGGCACCUGCAGGCCCUGGCAGCUCCGUCUCCUUGAUUUCCCGUUCACACCCUUUGCUGUUCUUUACUCAGGACCUGAAGCCCGUGGACCACAAUGGGCUGUCAGACCCCUGUGUCAAGCUGCACCUGCGGCCAGGAGCCAGGAGGAAGGCAAAUAAGCUCAGAACAAAACUCUCCGUAACACUGUGAACCCCGCGUGGAACAAAACCCUCAUUUCCUAUAGGAUCACAGGUGAAGACAUGACCCACAAGACCCUGCAGUGGGUGAGGGCCCUCGGCUGCCUGCUCCCUCCCCA
rnacentral:lncRNA from 1 species